rnacentral:rRNA from 1 species
GGGUUGUGAGGUUAAGCGACUAAGCGUACACGGUGGAUGCCCUGGCAGUCAGAGGCGAUGAAGGACGUGCUAAUCUGCGAAAAGCGUCGGUAAGGUGAUAUGAACCGUUAUAACCGGCGAUGUCCGAAUGGGGAAACCCAGUGCAAUUCGUUGCACUAUCGUUAACUGAAUACAUAGGUUAACGAGGCGAACCGGGGGAACUGAAACAUCUAAGUACCCCGAGGAAAAGAAAUCAACCGAGAUUCCCCCAGUAGCGGCGAGCGAACGGGGAGCAGCCCAGAGUCUGAAUCAGCUUGUGUGUUAGUGGAACGGUCUGGAAAGUCCGACGGUACAGGGUGAUAGUCCCGUACACCAAAAUGCACAGGCUGUGAACUCGAAGAGUAGGGCGGGACACGUGGUAUCCUGUCUGAAUAUGGGGGGACCAUCCUCCAAGGCUAAAUACUCCUGACUGACCGAUAGUGAACCAGUACCGUGAGGGAAAGGCGAAAAGAACCCCGGCGAGGGGAGUGAAAAAGAACCUGAAACCGUGUACGUACAAGCAGUGGGAGCACCUUCGGGUGUGACUGCGUACCUUUUGUAUAAUGGGUCAGCGACUUAUAUUCUGUAGCAAGGUUAACCGUAUAGGGGAGCCGCAGGGAAACCGAGUCUUAACUGGGCGUUAAGUUGCAGGGUAUAGACCCGAAACCCGGUGAUCUAGCCAUGGGCAGGUUGAAGGUUGGGUAACACUAACUGGAGGACCGAACCGACUAAUGUUGAAAAAUUAGCGGAUGACUUGUGGCUGGGGGUGAAAGGCCAAUCAAACCGGGAGAUAGCUGGUUCUCCCCGAAAGCUAUUUAGGUAGCGCCUCGUGAACUCAUCUUCGGGGGUAGAGCACUGUUUCGGCUAGGGGGUCAUCCCGACUUACCAACCCGAUGCAAACUACGAAUACCGAAGAAUGUUAUCACGGGAGACACACGGCGGGUGCUAACGUCCGUCGUGAAGAGGGAAACAACCCAGACCGCCAGCUAAGGUCCCAAAGUCAUGGUUAAGUGGGAAACGAUGUGGGAAGGCACAGACAGCCAGGAUGUUGGCUUAGAAGCAGCCAUCAUUUAAAGAAAGCGUAAUAGCUCACUGGUCGAGUCGGCCUGCGCGGAAGAUGUAACGGGGCUAAACCAUGCACCGAAGCUGCGGCAGCGACACUAUGUGUUGUUGGGUAGGGGAGCGUUCUGUAAGCCUGCGAAGGUGUGCUGUGAGGCAUGCUGGAGGUAUCAGAAGUGCGAAUGCUGACAUAAGUAACGAUAAAGCGGGUGAAAAGCCCGCUCGCCGGAAGACCAAGGGUUCCUGUCCAACGUUAAUCGGGGCAGGGUGAGUCGACCCCUAAGGCGAGGCCGAAAGGCGUAGUCGAUGGGAAACAGGUUAAUAUUCCUGUACUUGGUGUUACUGCGAAGGGGGGACGGAGAAGGCUAUGUUAGCCGGGCGACGGUUGUCCCGGUUUAAGCAUGUAGGCUGGUUAUCCAGGCAAAUCCGGAUAAUCAAGGCUGAGGUGUGAUGACGAGGUACUACGGUGCUGAAGUAACAAAUGCCCUGCUUCCAGGAAAAGCCUCUAAGCAUCAGGUAACAUCAAAUCGUACCCCAAACCGACACAGGUGGUCAGGUAGAGAAUACCAAGGCGCUUGAGAGAACUCGGGUGAAGGAACUAGGCAAAAUGGUGCCGUAACUUCGGGAGAAGGCACGCUGGUGUGUAGGUGAAGUCCCUGCGGAUGGAGCUGAGACCAGUCGAAGAUACCAGCUGGCUGCAACUGUUUAUUAAAAACACAGCACUGUGCAAACACGAAAGUGGACGUAUACGGUGUGACGCCUGCCCGGUGCCGGAAGGUUAAUUGAUGGGGUUAUCCGUAAGGAGAAGCUCUUGAUCGAAGCCCCGGUAAACGGCGGCCGUAACUAUAACGGUCCUAAGGUAGCGAAAUUCCUUGUCGGGUAAGUUCCGACCUGCACGAAUGGCGUAAUGAUGGCCAGGCUGUCUCCACCCGAGACUCAGUGAAAUUGAACUCGCUGUGAAGAUGCAGUGUACCCGCGGCAAGACGGAAAGACCCCGUGAACCUUUACUAUAGCUUGACACUGAACAUUGAGCCUUGAUGUGUAGGAUAGGUGGGAGGCUUUGAAGCGUGGACGCCAGUCUGCGUGGAGCCAACCUUGAAAUACCACCCUUUAAUGUUUGAUGUUCUAACGUUGGCCCCUUACCGGGGUUGCGGACAGUGUCUGGUGGGUAGUUUGACUGGGGCGGUCUCCUCCCAAAGCGUAACGGAGGAGCACGAAGGUUAGCUAAUCCUGGUCGGACAUCAGGAGGUUAGUGCAAUGGCAUAAGCUAGCUUGACUGCGAGCGUGACGGCGCGAGCAGGUGCGAAAGCAGGUCAUAGUGAUCCGGUGGUUCUGAAUGGAAGGGCCAUCGCUCAACGGAUAAAAGGUACUCCGGGGAUAACAGGCUGAUACCGCCCAAGAGUUCAUAUCGACGGCGGUGUUUGGCACCUCGAUGUCGGCUCAUCACAUCCUGGGGCUGAAGUAGGUCCCAAGGGUAUGGCUGUUCGCCAUUUAAAGUGGUACGCGAGCUGGGUUUAGAACGUCGUGAGACAGUUCGGUCCCUAUCUGCCGUGGGCGCUGGAGAAUUGAGGGGGGCUGCUCCUAGUACGAGAGGACCGGAGUGGACGCAUCACUGGUGUUCGGGUUGUCAUGCCAAUGGCACUGCCCGGUAGCUAAAUGCGGAAGAGAUAAGUGCUGAAAGCAUCUAAGCACGAAACUUGCCCCGAGAUGAGUUCUCCCUGAGACUUUAAGUCUCCUGAAGGAACGUUGAAGACGACGACGUUGAUAGGCCGGGUGUGUAAGCGCAGCGAUGCGUUGAGCUAACCGGUACUAAUGAACCGUGAGGCUUAACCUUACAACGCCGAAG